AACGUAGUUUUAAAGCCAAGUUAACAGUGUUUAACAUGGAGUAAGAUGAAUGAGGGCAGCACAGGACGGGAGGGUGCUGAGCUGAUGUUACGUAAGGGAGGGCUGCUGCGUUAGUGGUGCGUGUUAUCAACUCCAGAGCAGCCACUAGGGAAGUCAAACGAGGGUUUGACUCAAAGCCAAUAGUUUUGAUAAAAUAGAAUACAGAACGCUGUUCAAUCCAGAAAGCAAAGAAACAAGAGAUGAGACAGACGGAGAGAGGGCAACACCCUGGCGGAAGGGGCAUAGCCGUGACUGGGACAAGAAGUCAGAGGGAGAGAGUAGGAGCCUGAAGGACCAGAAUGGAAAAUCAUCAUCCAAAGCCCAACCAUAAGAAACCCAAAGCAGCUGUAUUGAUACGAGACAGAGUAGACUUUGUGUCUACUACCUGGGUAUUCCCAGAGAUAAAGAAGUAUGUAUCCUAAUGAUGCAGGGAUGAGUUCAAAACAACAUCAUUUUAAACGUAUGUGCACCUAGGGGUGCCUGGGUGGCUCAGUCGGUCGAGCGUCUGACUUCGGCUCGGGUCACGAUCUCGCGGUCCGUGGGUUCGAGCCCCGCGUCGGGCUCUGUGCUGACAACUCGAAGCCUGGAGCCUGCUUCGGAUUCUGUGUCUCCCUCUCUCUCUGCCCCUCCCCCACUCAUGCUCUGUCUCUCUUACUCUCAAAAAUGUUAAAAAACACAUUUUAAAAAAUAAAUGUAUGUGCACCUAAUGAUGGAGCUUCAUAAUGCACGAUGCAGAAUCUGAAAGAGAGAGAAAUCUGAAGGUUGAUCCAACUGAUGUUGAGAGCACCGUGCUGAGAAACCCCACGGUAUACACUCUUUUCAAGUGCACAUGGAGGAUUCACCAUAGAAACUCUUGUGAGAAUAUUUUAGUAGGCCAACAUUACCCUGUAGUCCAUGAUGAGAAAGUAUAGACAAUUCAUGAGCGUAGACACAGACAUCUCAAUAAAAUUUUAGCAAGUCCAGCAAUACAUAAAAAUGCUUAAUACAUUAAGUUCUACUAUAAUGCAGUAUACACGUGUUCCUUAAAAAUCACCAUGCUGUGGGGCACCUGGGUGGCUCAGCCGGUUGAGCGUCCAGCUUUGGCUCAGGUCACGAUCUCACAGUUCGUGGGUUCGAGCCCCGCCUCGGGCUCUGUGCUGACAGCUCAGAGCCUGGAGCCUUCUUAGGUCUCUGUGUCUCCCUCUCUGUCUGCUCCUCUCCCCACUCAUGCUCUGUCUCUCUCCUUCAAAAAUAAAUAAAAACGUUAAAAAAAUAUCACCAUGCUCUGCAAUAAUGCACUUGAAGCCAUAGGCUUCUGGAGAAAAUACAGGCACAAAAGUUGCCUCAGGGACCUAUUAGGAAGAAGUGAGGAACAUAAUAAAAAUGGUUUUUACAGGUUAAAUGGUUUUACACUUGUUAACUGGUUAAAAUAAUCAUACUGUACUGAAUACGGGCCCUAUAGCUUGACCAGUCUCUGAGGUUUGUCAAAGUGGGUGUCGGGAAAUGGUGGAUGGGAAGCUGUGUCAGGGGAGGUGAGUGGGGAUGGUCCACGGUAACUGUUGAACAGAGGUCACUGGUGCUGAGGGGUGCACAUUAUUGAAAAUGUUCUUUCAUGGCUUGAUUCUACUGGAUACAGUUUUUGAUGUUCACCUAGUUUGUCACCAGUGAAAUCACACGAGCAGAUACAAUGCUUGUAUCAUGUUGAAGUUGUUCCCUAGUAUAUCAGUUGUGUUGGGACAAAUUCUCACCUUCAAGGCAUGUGUUAAUGGCAAAGCUGUCUAUGCAUCCUAAUGAAUGGAGUUUACCUCGGGAGCACAUGGGUUUUGGGGGGAGGGGCUUUUGUGUUUUUAUUUGUUUAUUUGUCGAGAGAGCAUGGGGAGCAGGGGAAGAAGCAGAGGGAAAGAGUGAGAGAAUCUCCACGACCUUGAGAUCACUACCUGAGGCAAAAUCAAGAGGCCAAAAUCAAGUGACUCUUAACCAACUGAGCCACCCAGGCGCCACCCCUUGGGAGUGCAUGAUUUAACAUUAGAAAGUUAAUCUGUGUGGUUCUAAAGGGGAAAUUUAUGCUGUCAUCUAAAACAUGCAGUCGCAACAAUUCAAACCCAUUAAAGAUUUUAAAACUUUGUAAACUAAAAAAAACAAGGAAAUUUUCUAAAACAUUCUUAAUUGCAAGUGAAAUGAUUUGUGUAUGUUAAAAAUUGUAAGGAAUCCCAAAACUACUAUGGUUAAUAAGUAAAUUUUAUCAAGUUGCAGGUUCUUUUUUUAAUGUUUUAUUUAUUUUUGAGAGAGAUAGAGUACAGAAUCCAAAGCAGGCUCUAGGCUCUGAGCUGUCAGCACAGAGCCCGACGCAGGACUUAAACUCGUGAACCACGAGAUCAUGGCCUGAGCUGAAUUUGGACGCUUGACUGAGUGAGCCACCCAGGUGCCUCCACCAACAAAUAAUUUUAAAAUGAACUUGAAAAGACUGUCAAAAACAAUGGUAACAAAAAACUUUUAUUUAAUGUAUGUUUGUUUAUUUUUGAGACAGAGGGAGACAGAGCAUGAGCGGGGGAGGGGCAGAGAGGGAGGGAGACACAGAAUCCGAAACAGGCUCCAGGCUCCGAGCUGUCAGCACAGAGCCCGACACGGGGCUCAAACCCACGAACCGUGAGAUCAUGACCUGAGCCGAAGUCGGACGCUUAACCGACUGAGCCCCCCAGGCGCCCCGACAAGAAACAUUUUAAAGGACAGUACCAUCCAUAGUAAUGUAAGAAAUGCACCAUGCUUAGGCUAACUUAGCGGAACGGGUGCAGGACCUUCACUGACACCAUGGCAGCACUGCUGAGAGAAAGACAAGCUGUGAGACCUGCCCGUGCUCCGGGUGUGCCCGUGACCGUGCACACCGUGCCCGUGACUCUGCCCCUAGAGUGACCCAUCGAGUCAGCACAUUGCCAGAGUCACACCAGGCUUUUUAAAACAGAAAUGAACAAUCUGGUUCUAAAGUGUGAAUGUAAGUGCAGAGGGCCUAGAGCAGACAGAACCAUUUAGAGGGCCUGUACUAUCUGAUUUCAAGCCUUCCCAACAGGAACCAUGACAGCGUGGUGAGGGUGGAACUCCAGAUCAACUGAAAAUACCAGCCCGAAGACCCGUGUACACAUGAUCAACUGAUUCAUGACAAGGGUGCCAAGGUGACACAGAGGGGGAGAGGUUAGCCAUUUACAAACAGCGUUGUACCAAGUGCAUGGUCGUGUGGUGGGCAGUGAACGUGAACCUUCCUUCACACUGUACAACACACUUAACUCCAAAUGGGUUGUUGGCUUAACUGUAAAGCUGUAAGAAGUCUAGAAGAAAACGGGCAAGAAAAUUUUCAUGACUUGGAGUAAGCAGAUUGCUUAGGACGUGAAUAACGCUAAUCACUAAAUGAAAAGUUGCACUUCGUUAAAAAUUCUCUUCAGAAAACAACAAGAGAAGGUCAUAAACUUGAGAAGGCGUUCACAGCACCACGUGCAACGUAGGACUCCUAUCCGGAACAUAAACCCGAACAGCUCAGAAAGAAGAUAGGCUACCCAGUUACAGAAAGGACCACGAGAUUGGGACAGACAUUUCAUAGGAGAUCCUGAAUGGCCAGGACCCACGGGAUCCUACCACACGCUCACUGGAAUGGCUGAAAUUUGCCAACAGUCUGGUAGUCCAAGUGUUGGCAAGGAUGUGGACAGACGCACCUCUCCUAGUGGCUAGUGACAGUGUAAAGUGAUAACAACCACUUUGGAAACAGUUCGGUGCUUUCUCAGCUGUUACACCCUGUGUAACUAGACCGUCUGCUCUUAGGCAGAUACACAGGAGAAAUGAUAGCAUGACCACAGAGACUGCGCCUGGAUGUUCACAGCUGCUCUCCCUGCAGUGGCCCAAACUGGAUGUAACACAGGUGUACCCAGCAAGAGGGUGAUCAACAUGUCAAGAUGUGUCCACAUGAGAAAAGGAAACGGACUGCUGAUGGAUGACAUGACGUGGAUGAACCUCCAGAGCUAAUUGUGCUGAGCCAAAAUAGCCAGAUAAAAGAAGGCAUGUUGUAUGAUCCCAUGUUUGUGAAGUUCUAGAAUAAUCAAAACCAGUCUGUAGAGACAGAAAGCAGAUUGGUGUAUGCAUAUAAUGACACGAGAGGGGUAGAGCGGACUCUGACUUAGGCAAAGGAGCUCUCAUGGUAUGGAGAUCCUUUCUAUCUUGAGUUUACUUAUCUGAGUGUGUACUUGGUCAGACUAAUCCGUCAGUACAGUUCAAAUGAGUGCACUUAACUGUUGAACUGAGGUGUAUGUGAGUUACACCUCAGUAAAGUGGGUUUCAAAUAAAGCAAGUAGUUAGGGAAUUAAAGGUGAGACGGGUAGUGAAUAACACCUAGAAACUUAACCACGAGAACCCUCAACCUUUAAAUUGUACCUGUUAGAAGCACAAGAAAAAUGAUAUACAGGUAUCCCCUGCUUUCUGAAAGUUCCUGGCGUGCCACUUUUAUGAAAGGCCUGUAGUAGUGCCUGUUUGCAAUAAUAAAAGACCAGCAAGAGCUCAGCAUCGGUUUUGCAGCAAGCAGCAAGCCGUUGCAGAGGCAGCACGCCCGCCGAGCCUCCUCUCGAAGCAUUUCCGUGUCCAGCUGCCAGAGCUCUGAGCUGUCUGAGAGCAUCUGGACUUUAUCUUGACUGAUUUUGUGCACCUGUUAUGAUGUGUUCUAAGGUAUCAGAAUGGCUGAGGGGUGAUUUUUUUUUUUGUUUUUUUUUUUUAAGCUAGGGGUGUCAAAAAAUGUUUCCAUCUAAGUGAGUGGUAUAAUGCUUUUUUGCUUUCUACCAUUUGGGCUUAGGAACAGUCUACUUUCGGGUAGAGGGAGAACCUGUAUCAGGAAAAGGCCAGUGCACCCACCUUGUAAGUCAGACGCUAUUGCAAAAGGUGUUUUCAGAAUUGCAGAUGACAUCUAAGGGAAUAAGAAAUUUCAUAAAAAGAUCAUAUAUGCAAGUGAAAAACUACGAAUGUUUGGGCAGCAAUCUGGAAGAAACUUAAAAAUCACAAAUAAGUUCUUUAAAGACAUCACAGAUCAAAGCCCAGUGGCAGGUUGCUUGUGAGGGAACGUGGUGCCUGUGCUGCUGAAGUCUGGCCAAAUGGUGAUAGUUGGUGAUAGUUCAUAUCAAGUUUCCAGCCUCCCCACGAGUAUUGGGGGUGGUGGGUCUGUUCACAAGAAAAGCAAAAUUAAAAAUAGCCUAUUGUCAAAUAUAUAUAUUAGCUGGUAGAAAGUCCGAAGAAUGGAUAGUGUGACCAAAUUCACAAGAGGGUUACAGAAUGAACACUUCCGAAGACUUUGGAACUAAGCUAAGAGAACGAAUCCUUGUAGGUUCACGCGUCCUGAAAAUGCACACUUGUGUCCUGGUGGACUCGUUCAUGAGGGCACAUGCACCUGGGACCUUGGCCCCUCUGAGCCGGGCCUGCUUGUGCAUCCUUACCCCGUGAAAUGGCUUGUCUCUGGGCAAAAAAGGGAUCACUCAGAGUGCUGCCCUUCGGGGCCCUCCCAGGUGGCCCUGGCUGCAGGGUGUUUGAGAAAGCAAGCGCUUUCUUGUGUUGGUUAAAAUUGAAAAGUAAAUGUGAGGAGGACACCCUCCACCCUGUUUAGGAGCUUUUUGUUUCCUAGCAUUCCUGGCUUGGCCUAAGUUUUGUGGGGGGAUGGGAGGGUUCGCCUAGGUUUUAAUUGGAAGCUUCUGGGAUCUCUGGGACCCUGAGCCUGAUGGGAUUUCAGGAUGCUAUAAACCCAAGCUCCCUUUCCUCCUGUGCAUAUUCUUCAUGUGGUGGCGCCCCCUUGUGCCUGGUGCUGUGUAUCUCGAUUGGUGAGAACGUAAGUCGUUUUGUAAAUCCCGAGUACCUCCCAUCCCAGUCAGCUUCUGCUGUCAUCACUGGUGCAGGACAACUACAUAGGGUUGCUCAGCCCCGUGUAUUUUAUGCUGUGAGAUAUACACUCCAGGGCCUCUUGAGCUCUUGUGUCUCACAUGUAUAGGCGCCUGAGAAACACCUCUGGGACAGAGAUACUGGUGAACAAGAAAUCACAAAGCUAGCCACUCCCAGAGAUUCGGCCCAACAGCAGCAUCAUGUUCUGAGUUUAUGAGUUAAUUACUUGUAGGUGCUGCCUGAAAGCCAUUCCAAGGGAAGAUGCUUCCACCCUUAAAGUGAAGAUUUGUAAUUCAGGAUCAGACAUUGGAAUGUUGCAACUGCUUUUUUUUUUCUUUUAAAGAAGGUGUCUCUACUCAGACACCUGUGCUGAGAUAUCUUCUGAGCCCCAUUCCCUUUCAGCUUCAUUACCCACAGCUGUCACCACUUCAUUGGUGGCAAAGUAACCUUGCUCGUUUGUCGUCUCCCCACUGGACUGCCAGUCUGCACGGGAGCAGGAAUUUAGCUGUCCAGCACAUGGAGCUGUGCCAGGCACACAAAAAGACUGAGCACUCGCUUACUGGCAAGAUCUCUUCGUUUGUGAUAAAAACUGCUGGGCAGUUUGUUAAAAGGAUAAUUUGGUGGCAUAUUUUUAUGCUCUUUUAUUUGGACAUGUUCAGCAUGUAAUUCUGGUUUUGUCCCCUUGGUGGUCCUUUCCACAUAUGAAAAUCGCCAUCCAAUUAAAGUGCAGUCCUGAUUU